rnacentral:lncRNA from 1 species
GCAGCUGUGGCCUUUGUUAUCAAUAACUGGGUUCUGCUAGUUUUCGGUUUUGUUAAAGACUGAGGUUUGGCGAAAAUAGGCGGUGAAAAAAGAGAAUGAGGGGAACGUAGAGGAGUAAAUUUAGGGUUUGCUGAGAGAGACAAAGGGAGUUUUAAAAUGAAAUUUGUAACGACGGCCAUGGAAUGAAGCGCCAAUAUCCACCCACACCCACUCCAAGCUCCAGAGAUCGAGUUGGCGUUUGAUUGGAUAGAAUUAGAGUGUUUCCAGGGAUGACUGCGAGGCAAAGCAGAGACUACA